AAAGAAUGUUUCUCCGCCUUCCCACAAGGAGCUUGCUGCAGCCUCAGCCAGAAACCAAAUUCUACUUGGAAAAAAUGAACUUACAUACAAUUUUACAACGUGAUUAACAGACAAAAUACGGAAAGAUCCCAGCCUUUUGAACAUACUGGAUAACAUCUCCCAGAAAAUGAAGCACAGCGUGCCUCAAAUCCUGUUUUCCAAAGGGCUGCAGCACACAGGAAUGCGUGAUUCAUUGACUUGCAAUGAAACAUAGGCUUAUAAAGUUACUGCUGAAGGUCUGAGCUAACAACUCCAGUCGCAGGCUUUGGGUACAGCAACCAGACUAGCAAAGAUUGAGGCAAAACCAUAAGAGUGGCACAGCAUGUCAUCUCUUUCAGAAAUUUAUAGAAUCAUAUAAUCCCUGGUUGGAAGAGACUCACAAGAAUCAUCUAAUCCAACUCCUGGCUCCACAUAAGACCACCCAAAAUUGAAACCCUCUGUCUUAGGAGUGUUGUCCAAAUGCUUCUCAAACUCUGGCAGCAUGGGGCUGUGAGCACUGCCCUGAGGAGCCUGCUGCAGUGCCUGACAACCCUUCGGUGAAGAACCUUUUCCUAAUACACUGCCUCUGCUCCACACCAUUCCCUCAUGGUCCUAUCACUGUCACCAGAGAGCAGAGCUCAGCACUGCCUCUCUGCUCCCCUUGAGGAGCUGUAGGAUGCCAUGAGGGACCUCAGCUGUUCCUCAUACACUUUGCCCUCUAGGCCCUUCACCAUCUUUUUUGCCCUACUUAAGCUUUGCAGCCAAGUUUUCUAGAAUUCAGCAUAUGGAUUCAUAACCUAUCAAAAUAUGAAUUCAAUCUCAAUUUUCAAAUGCAUUUGUGAAGGCGAAGAGUGCCCACAUAAAGAACAAAACACCAGUGUGCAUGAUAUCCUUCAGAAGAUCCUUGCAGCUAGCUACAAGAAAAUCAUACUGUAGACGUCACAAUGCAUUCUUUAUUUAUAAGGAAGAGCCAAGGAACUGCAGCAUAACCCCCAGAGGACAAAAUGAGUCCCUACAGCAUUGAAGCACUACAGAAAGCAAGCUAAAGCAAACUAAACUAGGCAUCAGCUGGGAAAAUAAUAAAAACAGGACCACCAACAUAAAACUGCACUCUGUAGCCAAUUGUUACACCAAUCUACGUGCUAUUCUCUUGUCCCUGCAACAACAUACAUAUUCAUUUCCAAUAAAAUGAAUUAUGUAUAGCUGUUCAGACUACUUAAAGUCACUGCCAGGACAAUACCAUAUAAAAUACUAGCAUUUGCUAAUGAAAAAUGAAUUAUUUAAUGUUUUAGAUGCAUAUCCGAACAACUUCAUGAAAACUGGUAUCCUGCAUUUCUGAAACAAUUAAAAUUUCACUAUACUAUUCAGGAAUUAACCACACAAGAGAAUGAACUGAGCUUAUCUAUAUUUAUGGAUUUCACAGAAGUCCAUUUCAAAAGAAACAGCAAGGAGUACUGAAAGAAC